rnacentral:rRNA from 1 species
AUUGAACGCUGGCGGCAGGCCUAACACAUGCAAGUCGAGCGAGCGGCGGACGGGUGAGCAUUGUAUGGGGACUGCCCGAUAGAGGGGGAUAACAACUGGAAACGGUAGCUCAUACCCCAUACUAUCGGAUAACCCAUAUGGGAUUAGCUCGUGGGUGAGGUAAUGGCUCACCUAGGGGACGAUCCCUGGCUGGUCUGUGAGGAUGAGCAGCAACACUGGGACUGAGACACGGCCCAGACUCCUACGGAGGCAGCAGUGGGGAAUAUUGAACAAUGGGCGCAAGCCUGAGGCAGCCAUGCCGCGUGUAUGAAGAAGGCCGUAGGGUUGUAAAGUACUUUCAGUCGGGAGGCGUUACCGACAGAAGAAGCACCGGCUAACUCCGUGCCAGCAGCCGCGGUAAUAC